rnacentral:misc_RNA from 1 species
AACGCACGAGACCUGCGGACCUGCGGAAGGAUCAUUGCGAGUGAGGGAUGUUUGGUUGGGUGGGGCGGGGGAGCUGUGGUGGCUCUGCUUGGGUAGAGACACUGGACGCUCAAGACCCCUGCCGACCUACACCACAUAUUUGCGCUUGUGUGGUUUGACAGAGUGAAUUGUGGGUUAACAUGGACAACUUUUAACAAUGGAUCUCU